rnacentral:tRNA from 1 species
AUGUACCCAAGGGGAUCA